UCAUUGCUGAAGAGUUCAUCGAGACCUACGCAGGUUGUUGUAAGGGGCCUUCCUCCCCAAAUGUCGUUCCGUAGAGCACCUUUGGAUAGUUUCUGAAUGGAGUUAGCGCAAUCUUCCUUCAAACGGCCGGAUCUUGUGGAGGACUUGGAUUUUUAACUUUAAGAUUCGCCAUUUCAAGUCGGCAGAAUGCCGGAUAAGGACUCGGAUAUGCCUGGAAACCUAAGGACAGUAUAGCCAGGACUGGCUUAUUCGGAAUAUCCGAUCGAACUAUUUCUUUUAUCAAGUUUACCCAUUGUGGAUGAUGGAUGGCCGUGAUUUCGGACCCCCCAGAUCUGUUCACGUCCCCCCUCCUUUGCUGUCGGGAUUGGCAAUGGAGCAGCACCGACUUGGAGCAGCCGCUGCAGCCGGGAGAAUACCCCCGUCCCCCGGUCACUUGGGCGCGGGGCACCCGGCGCCAAUUCACUCUGGAAAAUUCUUAUCUACUGCCAUUAACCGACAUUCUCAUCACAGUGAUGCCUUCCCAGGUGCCUCCAGUAGCUUCCUCAGCAGUUAUGUGAGCCCUCACGCCACCAACCCGCACGCCAGUGCCCUCUCCUCUGAGCCCUCCUACAGGCAGCCCAACCCCUCCGCCAUUCCCAUGGCCCAGCUGUGGGCAUCCCACGAAGGUAAGGGCUUCCUCCUGCUCCACUUUUUGAUGUGUCUUUUUGGUUCAUCUUCUCCAUCUUCACACUGCGAAAAGAAUGUGGCCACACCUGAAUGUGGUGUGAGGGUUUUUUUUUUUUCUUUCUUUUUUUUUCUUGGUUCAUCUUCUCCUUGCUGCUCAGUCAGCCCCCAAUAAGGAUGCUGGGCGUGGGCCAACAUCUCUUGGCGGAGCAGGGCUCCUGUCUUGAUGGAGGUGAUGGUUGAAUGUAUUGAAUUUAACGAUCAGGUUUGUUGACGCUUCACUGGACUGAAACAAAGGCCAGAUGCAUAAAUGCAGGAACUGGGAAGAUGGGAUGGCGUUGAGUUGAUUUGGGAACAGGAAGAAAAAGGGGAAACAAAAAAAGUGUAAGCCGACACGCUCUGUCAAAACAGGCAGCGGAUUUCUCGCUCCCUUUUUGUAUGGGAAGUUAAUAGGAAUUGAAUUGGGGGAGUGUUAGAAUAUUGUGCGGGCUUUGCUUGGAUAGAUUAAGGCAGGGGUUUGUGUGUUUGAUAAGUGCACAUCUGAACUGACGCUAAGGGCCUUGCAAUGCAUAACAUCAGUUCAUGUUCAACACACUCACUCACUCACUUACUCACGCACGCACACACACACACACGUAC